rnacentral:rRNA from 1 species
GACGAACGCUGGCGGCGUGCUUAACACAUGCAAGUCGAACGAAAAGAGGGAAAGAGCUUGCUCUUUCCGGAAUUGAGUGGCAAACGGGUGAGUAACACGUAAACAACCUGCCUUCAGGAUGGGGACAACAGACGGAAACGACUGCUAAUACCGAAUAAGUUCCAAGGGCCGCAUGGCCCAUGGAAGAAAAGGUGGCCUCUACCUGUAAGCUAUCGCCUGAAGAGGGGUUUGCGUCUGAUUAGCUGGUUGGAGGGGUAACGGCCCACCAAGGCGACGAUCAGUAGCCGGUCUGAGAGGAUGAACGGCCACACUGGAACUGAGACACGGUCCAGACUCCUACGGGAGGCAGCAGUGGGGAAUCUUCCGCAAUGGGCGAAAGCCUGACGGAGCAAUGCCGCGUGAGUGAUGACGGCCUUCGGGUUGUAAAACUCUGUGAUCCGGGACGAAAAGGCAGAGUGCGAAGAACAAACUGCAUUGACGGUACCGGAAAAGCAAGCCACGGCUAACUACGUG